rnacentral:rRNA from 1 species
AUGCAGGCGCAGAUCGAGCAGGUGCUGCAACUCUCCAGAGCCCUCGCCGCCGCGCACCCACAAGUGCAGAAAGUUCACUUACCCUGCUACUAUAACAAACUGCUGGUGGUGGCUCUUUCACAGGCAAAGCUCAAGGUGAAGAAGGCCAUCGAGAAGGGCAACGCCGACGGCGCCCAGAUCUAUGCGGAGAACACCAUCCGCAAGCGCACCGAGCACAUGAACUACCUCUGCCUCGCCUCCCGCCUCGCCCCAUAUGCCCAUGAGUGA